rnacentral:lncRNA from 1 species
GGCGGCAGCCUUGGUUUGCACUCUCAGACGUGGUGACUGCAAGAAGUCAGUUGGCCCGAUGAUGAAGAGACCCAGGUUAGAAGCCCUGAGAGGCCUCAGCAUUACACCUGGGGCAAGCGGAAUAAAAAAAGGUCACUGGCGCUUUUUAAACAUGGACCAAAAAGCAGUAAAAUGUGUUUUGAAAAAAAAAAAUCCUGGCAUUAAAUCAUGACUUUUUGCCUGGC